UACGUAGGAGGCGAGCGUUGUCCGGAGUUACUGGGCGUAAAGGGUGCGCAGGCGGUGGCCCGCGUGGGCGGUGAAAGCUCCUGGCUCAACUGGGAGAGGGCCGUCCAGACGGGGUCACUUGAGGGGCGGAGAGGGGCGUGGAAUUCCUGGUGUAGCGGUGAAAUGCGUAGAUAUCAGGAGGAACACCGGUGGUGUAGACGGCUCACUGGACCGUAACUGACGCUGAAACACGAAAGCGUGGGUAGCAAACAGG
rnacentral:rRNA from 1 species